AGGGCUGGAUGACCGCGAGGGGCAACCUUCGAGGAAAGUCCGGACUCCAGGAAGCAAGGGUGCCGGGUAACGCCCGGCGGGGGCAACCCCAGGGAAAGCGCAACAGAGAACAGUCUGCCGCGGUCCGCCGUGGCGAUGGUGAAACGGUGGGGUAAGAGCCCACCACGGGCCUGGCAACAGGAACGGUAUGGCAAGCCCCACCCGGAGCAAUGCCGAAUAGGGGCCUCGCGCGGAAAGGUCCGGACGGACAGCCUCGGCUGCCGGAGACCUCCGCAGGGACGCUUCAGCCCAGGGGCCCGGGUUGGCAGCUUGACCGCCGUGGCAACACGGUCGGCAGAGGAAUGGUCAUCCAGGGGCCGCAAGGCCCGGGACAGAAUCCGGCUUACAGGCUCUCC
rnacentral:RNase_P_RNA from 1 species